rnacentral:rRNA from 1 species
GACGAACGCUGGCGGCGUGCUUAACACAUGCAAGUCGAACGAUGAACCCGGAGCUUGCUCCGGUGGAUUAGUGGCGAACGGGUGAGUAACACGUGAGUAACCUGCCCUUGACUCUGGGAUAACUGCGGGAAACUGUAGCUAAUACCGGAUACGACCCUCGGCGGCAUCGCCAGGGGGUGGAAAGAAUUUCGGUCAAGGAUGGGCUCGCGGCCUAUCAGCUAGGUGGGGAGGUAACGGCUCACCAAGGCGGCGACGGGUAGCCGGCCUGGGAGGGUUGCCGGCCACACCGGGGCCGGGGCACCGGCCAGACUCCUACGGGAGGCAGCAGUGGGGAAUAUUGCACAAUGGGCGCAAGCCUGAUGCAGCAACGCCGCGUGAGGGAUGACGGCCUUCGGGUUGUAAACCUCUUUUAGUAGGGAAGAAGCGAAAGUGACGGUACCUGCAGAAAAAGCACCGGCUAACUACGUGCCAGCCGCCGCGGUAA